rnacentral:rRNA from 1 species
UACGUAGGGGGCAAGCGUUGUCCGGAAUUAUUGGGCGUAAAGAGCGCGUAGGCGGCCAUGCAGGUCCGUUGUGAAAACUCGAGGCUCAACCUCGAGACGCCGAUGGAAACCGCAUGGCUAGAGUCCGGAAGAGGAGAGUGGAAUUCCUGGUGUAGCGGUGAAAUGCGCAGAUAUCAGGAGGAACACCGGUGGCGAAGGCGGUUCUCUGGGCAUGUCCUGACGCUGAGGAGCGAAAGUGUGGGGAGCGAACAGG